UAUGGCGAAAUCGGUAGUUUGACCGACCAUGCCCCUGCCACAACAUUUGCACAUUUGGAUGCUACUACCGUACUUUCCAGAGGAUUAGCUUCCAAGGGUAUUUAUCCAGCAGUAGAUCCCUUUACACGUAAGACCUAUUGCUCAUGCGAUUUGGGAUCCUCAUUUUGGUCAACCCGCUGUGGAAGCCUUUACUCGAGGAGGUGGAUCCUCGAGUGA
rnacentral:rRNA from 1 species